CCUCCCGGGCGCAGCAGUCGAGAAUCAUUCACAAUGGGGGAAACCCUGGUGGCGCGACGCCGCGUGGGGGAAUGAAGGUCUUCGGAUUGUAAACCCCUGUCAUGUGGGAGCAAAUUAAAAAGAUAGUACCACAAGAGGAAGACCCCGCUACAUCUCUCACAGCAGCCGCGGUAAUACAGAGGUCUCAAGCGUUGUUCGGAAUCACUGGGCGUAAAGCGUGCGUAGGCUGUUUCGUAAGUCGUGUGUGAAAGGCGCGGGCUCAACCCGCGGACGGCACAUGAUACUGCGAGACUAGAGUAAUGGAG
rnacentral:rRNA from 1 species